UUGGAAUUGAGUGAAUAUUCAACCGCGGAUUAACAUCGCUAUCAGAAUUAUUCAUGUCAACAGAAUCAAAUCCGGUUGCAGCACUUACGUUUAAAGAAUAGCUUCCAUCUGAAACAGAAUUCCUUUCAGCUGAAUUCUCGGAAUUAUCAAUCCCUGCGGAACUAUUUUCAUUAGAUUGAUUGUCCAAGUACAAUCUUCUCUAGCAAUAGUGGCCAUGUUUAAUGAUGAAGCAAAUCCCCAGGGAUCUACAUUUAAUAGCUAAAGAACAUUCAGGUACAAAGGCAUAGCGGAUAUACCACGGCCAAAAACAACAAGGAAUGGGGAGAAAAGCUUUAGUUAUGAGGCAGCAAGACUCUAGAACUCCUUGCCAAAUGAGGCAAGGAGCUUAUCAACUUUUGGCCAGUUCAAAAAUUUUAUCUCCACCAGGUGUUUUUCAGAAAGUUGUACCUGCAGUUCUUGUAAGUAAUGUAACUCCUUGCUGCCACAUGACUUGAUCUUGAAGCCUACUGUUUGUUUUAUGUUUUUAUUUUUUGUAGUUAUUUUUAUUUAUUUGCUUUGCUUAUGCAUUACCUGUGCUGUAGCUGCUUGCAGUCUUUUGCUUGUGCUUUAUAGUGUUUAAUUUUGCAUGUGCUACUUGGAUACACAUAUUGUGUGUUACUAUGUGCUGAUAUUUGACAUUUGUUUUAAUAUAUAUCUUGCUUAGCUUUUAUUUUGCAUGUGCUAUCUAUGUAUUAACAUGAUUAAUACAUGUAUGUGCUGUCUGUAUGUUUGUGUUGUAUAUGAAUCUGAUGUUACUACAUGUAUGCAGUUCUGCCAACUUUUAAUAAUGCAAAUGCGUGAGAUUUGGCCAAAAUCGUAAAGAUCAAAGAGAAAAAACAAUAGAUCAAAGGAAAAUGCCGCCAAAUAAGCAUGAAAAUGUGUGAGACUUGGCAGCCCUGUGUAUGUUUUGUUUAUUAAUAUCAGUCGGUUAAAGAGCUCUUAAUAAAGACAGUCUUCACGCUUAACCACAAGUCCUACAGCAUUGGCUUGUACAAUUGCUUUCUGACUUGUAAAAUUCUUCUCUACAAGCCAACAGAAUCCAACUAAAAUUUUAAAAAAAUUGAGCUUCUGCAAGUUCUGGCUUGUGGAAUC